CCUACGGGUGGCAGCAGUGGGGAAUAUUGCUCAAUGGGCGAAACCCUGAAGCAGCAACGCCGCGUGGAGGAUGAAGGUUUUCGGAUUGUAAACUCCUUUUGUUAGAGAAGAUAAUGACGGUAUCUAACGAAUAAGCACCGGCUAACUCCGUGCCAGCAGCCGCUGUAAUUCGGAGGGUGCACGCGUUACUCGGAAUCACUGGGCGUAAAGAGCGCGUAGGCGGGAUAGCAAGUCAGAUGUGAAAUCCUAGGGCUUAACCAUAGAACUGCAGUUGAAACUGAUAUUCUAGAGUAGGGGAGAGGUAGGCGGAAUUCGUGGUGUAGGGGUAAAAUCCGUAGAGAUCAAGAGGAAUACUGAUUGCGAAGGCGACAUGCUAGAACAUAACUGACGCUGAUGCGCGAAAGCGUGGGGAGCAAACAGGAUUAGAUACCCGAGUAGUC
rnacentral:rRNA from 1 species